rnacentral:rRNA from 1 species
UACGAAGGGGGCUAGCGUUGUUCGGAAUUACUGGGCGUAAAGCGCACGUAGGCGGGUUAUUAAGUCAGGGGUGAAAUCCCAGAGCUCAACUCUGGAACUGCCUUUGAUACUGGUAAUCUAGAGAUCGGAAGAGGUUAGUGGAAUUCCCAGUGUAGAGGUGAAAUUCGUAGAUAUUGGGAAGAACACCAGUGGCGAAGGCGGCUAACUGGUCCGAUACUGACGCUGAGGUGCGAAAGCGUGGGGAGCAAACAGG